rnacentral:rRNA from 1 species
CCUACGGGAGGCAGCAGUGAGGAAUAUUGGUCAAUGGACGCAAGUCUGAACCAGCCAUGCCGCGUGCAGGAAGACGGCGCUAUGAGUUGUAAACUGCGUUUGUACGAGGGGAAACGCAGAUACGCGGAACUGUCUGAAAGUAUCGUACGAAUAAGGAUCGGAUAACUCCGUGCCAGCAGCCGCGGUAAUACGGAGGAUUCAAGCGUUCUCCGGAUUGAUUGGGUUUAAAGGGUGCGUAGGCGGUCGGAGAAGUUAGAGGUGAAAUCCCGAGGCUCCACUUCGGAAUUGCCUCUGAUACUGGUCGGCUAGAGCGUAGUUGCGGUAGGCGCACUG